AGUCCUGUGGUGUAACGGUAGCACAACAGUUUUUGGUACUGUUUGUCCUGGUUCGAAUCCAGUCGGGACUA
rnacentral:tRNA from 1 species